UACGUAGGGUGCGAGCGUUAAUCGGAAUUACUGGGCGUAAAGCGUGCGCAGGCGGUUGUGCAAGGCAGGUGUGAAAUCCCCGGGCUUAACCUGGGAACUGCACUUGUGACUGCACGGCUGGAGUACGGCAGAGGGGGAUGGAAUUCCGCGUGUAGCAGUGAAAUGCGUAGAUAUGCGGAGGAACACCGAUGGCGAAGGCAGUCCCCUGGGCCUGUACUGACGCUGAGACGCGAAAGCGUGGGGAGCGAACAGG
rnacentral:rRNA from 1 species